UACGUAGGGGGCAAGCGUUGUCCGGAAUCAUUGGGCGUAAAGAGCGUGUAGGCGGCUCGGUAAGUCCGCUGUGAAAGUCCAGGGCUCAACCCUGGAAUGCCGGUGGAAACUGUCGAGCUUGAGUCCGGAAGAGGCGAGUGGAAUUCCUGGUGUAGCGGUGAAAUGCGCAGAUAUCAGGAGGAACACCAAUGGCGAAGGCGGCGCGCUGGGACGGUACUGACGCUGAGACGCGAAAGCGUGGGGAGCAAACAGG
rnacentral:rRNA from 1 species